rnacentral:rRNA from 1 species
CCUGCCAGUAGUCAUAUGCUUGUCUCAAAGAUUAAGCCAUGCAUGUGUAAGUACAAGCCAUUUUAUGGCGAAACCGCAAACAGCUCAUUAAAUCAGUUAUGGUUCCUUGGAUUUAAGUUAUCAUACUUGGAUAACUGUGGUAAUUCUAGAGCUAAUACAUGCAACUAAGCUCCGACUUACGGGAAGAGCGCUUUUAUUAGAUCAAGACCAAUCGGGGUAUAUCCUCGUUUGCUUGGUGACUCUGAAUAACCUUAUGCUGAUCGCACGGUCAAGCACCGGCGACAUAUCUUUCAAAUGUCUGACUUAUCAACUGUCGAUGUGAUGCUAUGAGCCUCACAUGGUCGUCACGAGUGACGGGGAAUCAGGGUUCGAUUCCGGAGAGGGAGCCUGAGAAACGGCUACCACAUCCAAGGAAGGCAGCAGGCACGCAAAUUACCCACUCCGGCACGGGGAGGUAGUGACGAAAAAUAACAAUACGAGACUCAUCCGAGGCCUCGUAAUUGGAAUGAGUAGAAUUUAAAAGAGUAUACGAAUAUCUAUUGGAGGGCAAGUCUGGUGCCAGCAGCCGCGGUAAUACCAGUUCCAAUAGCGUAUAUUAAAAUUGUUGCGGUUAAAAAGCUCGUAGUUGGACUUUGGUCUCGGACAGUCGGUUUCACUUGCCGGUGUACACUGACUGGUCCGGACGUACUGCCGGUUCGUCCUCGGUGCUCUUCACUGAGCGUCUUGGGUGGCCGGCACGUUUACUUUGAACAAAUUAGAGUGCUUAAAGCAGGCUCUAUGCCUGAAUAAUGGUGCAUGGAAUAAUGGAAUAGGACUUCGGUUCUGUUUUGUUGGUCUUAAGAACUUGAGGUAAUGAUUAACAGAGACAGACGAGGGCAUACGUAUUGUAACGGGAGAGGUGAAAUUCUUGGAUCGUUACAAGACGAACAAAGGCGAAAGNAUUUGCCCAGAAUGUCUUCAUUAAUCAAGAACGAAAGUUAGAGGCUCGAAGGCGAUUAGAUACCGCCCUAGUUCUAACCAUAAACGAUGCCAGCCAGCGAUCCGCCGAUGUUACUUGAUGACUCGGCGGGAAGCUUCCGGGAAACCAAAGCUUUUGGGUUCCGGGGGAAGUAUGGUUGCAAAGCUGAAACUUAAAGGAAUUGACGGAAAGGCACCACCAUGGAGUGGGGCCUGCGGUUUAAUUUGACUCAACACGGAAAACCUCACUAGGCCCAGACACUGGCAGGAUGGACAGAUUAAGAGCUCUCUCUAGAUUCAGUGGGUGGUGGUGCAUGGCCGAUCUUAGUUCUUGGAGCGAUUUGUCUGGUUAAUUCCGUUAACGAACGAGACUCUGGCCUAUUAAAUAGACGUCGGAUCCAAGGGGUCCGACGGUCUUCUUAGAGGGACAGGCGCGCCAGCCGCACGAGAGUGAGCAAUAUCAGGUCUGUGAUGCCCUUAGAUGUUCUGGGNCNCACGCGCGCCACAAUGAAGGAAUCAAAGUGACCCCUAUCCGAAAGGACCGGGAAAUCAUUGAACCUCCUUCGUGUUAGGGAUUGGGGAUUGCAAUUAUUUCCCAUGAACGAGGAAUUCCUAGUAAGUGUUGGUCAUGAGCCGACUUUGAAUAAGUCCCUGCCUUUUGUACACACCGCCCGUCGCUACUACCGAUUGAAUGGUUUAGUGAGGCUUCGGACCGGGCACUGCGUCGCUCACGGGAGACACGGAUGCCCUGGAAAGAUGUCCGAACUUGACUAUUUAGAGGAAGUAAAAGUCGUAACAAGGUUUCCGUAGUGAACCUGCAGAUGGA